GGCUGGGGCCGAGCAACGAGCACCAGGUGGGCAGGCCCGAGAAUGAGCACCGGGUGGGCAGGCCCGAGAAUGAGCACCAGGUGGGCAGGCCCGAGAAUGAGCACCGGGUGGGCCGGCACGAGGGCGAGCACCAGGUGGGCCGGCACGAGAACGAACACCAAGUGAGCCGGCCUGAAGCCCUGCCCCUGAGCCCCCGCCCGAAGAGAAACACUCCGUCCCAAGGUCUCCGCCCCCAAGGUCAGCCAUCAGGAAGGGGGGGGAUUGAGUCUGCUGUACCAGACACCAGACCUUGAGAAUAUGCUGAUCUGGAAUGGCUCUGUGUCUCAUUUGAAC
rnacentral:lncRNA from 1 species